rnacentral:sRNA from 1 species
GCUGGGCAUGGUAGUACAUGCCUGUAAUCCCAGCAGCUCGGGAGGCUGAGGCAGGAGGAUCUCGAGUUCAAAGCCAGUCUCAGCAAAAGCAAGGUGCUAAGCAACUCGGUGAGACCCUGUCUCUA